UGCUCUGUGAGUGAGAAGAUGAUUUCUUCAACACAAGAGAGCACUGGCUACACUGAGGCAAGCUUUUCAGCCCCUCCACCCCUACCGGACCUUUCUCUUACCCCAGCUUCUUCCUGGUACUGCCCCACUGGCCCUAAGGAAAGGUACACCUAAUCAGGCUGGUCAGAUUUCUAACUUCUGCUAGCAGUAGGCAGGGCUCAAGCCAUGCAAACAUGUCCUGUGUUCUCUCUUCUACUCCCUCCUGCCAUGAAGCUAGUUGGUAAGUUGGGUUUUUCUCUUUCUUUGGGCAUUCCAUCUCUGUCUGUCCUGCACACAUGCCAUUGAGACAAGAUCAUCCAUGUUUUCAGGUAGAAGUGUUUAGAUUUUAGACAUGAGGACAAAGUAGGAGACUUCAUUGGACCCUAGUGCUUAGCCUUAUGGUUCAGCUCUCUUUUUGCAGGAGGCUUGCUUUUCAGCACCAGGUUCUUACCAUUACAAUGCUUCUUAUCUGUCUGCUGAUCCCUCGGAUCCUUUGAGCCCUCCCAAGGGCUGGUGGGUACAGAUGCUUGGCAAAGCAGAUGUUCACAUAGCCCCCUUAUUCUUCCUAUAGGCCUGGCAAAAUCACAAUUACCAAAGGACAGAAAUGUUGCCAAAUUUUCUCUCCCAAAGGAUUAAGUUACCCUAACCUGAUAUUAGAGAGACUGAGGUAUGAUUGGGUUUUAGAUAUGAUAAGGUACAUGCUAAUAUUUAUCUGGACAAAGAUAAGCCAAAUGCUGAAUGGCGAUUUGAGAGGGAAACAAAAAAAGGAUUUGAGACUCAGAGGAGGGCUUGUGGUGCUGACCGGAAAGAAGAGGAAAGCCUGGCUUAGGGAGAUUUUAUUGGCAGUCUCCAGGGUGGCUGCAGUCAUGAUUCAUUUGUACAGAGAAAUGGAAGUUUACUGACUAUCAAAGGACCGUGACUAAACUAGAAGGACAAUUAAGACUACCCAGAGAUGGCUAGAGUUCUGAAGGUACUUUGAGUCUCCACCUUUCUAAGAGUGGGUGAGUACAUCUACGAGAGUAGACACAUCGUAUUAGGCUAGAAGCUAAAUAUGCAUUG
rnacentral:lncRNA from 1 species